rnacentral:miRNA from 1 species
CGGGAUCUUGGGGGCGAGAUG